GCUAAUGUCACCCAAGGGUAGUCGUGUAGUGAGCUAAGCUACCUUUCACCAUGCCAUUUAAAGUGUGUAGAUUUUACUUUCUUUUUCUCUCUAAUUGGGUUUCCACAAUAGUGAGUGCCACUAAUAAAUUCCCAUCACGAUUGAGAACGGAUAACAAAAUUUGUUUCUUUACACAAAAGCACCACACACUCGUAUCCUUGCAUACUUGUAUCUUUUCUGUUUAAUCAAUCAGCGAAUGGUGAUUCGUUUUUCCUUUUUAUUGUAAUAAAUUUCAUUUCAUUUGUCGAUCUAUAUCACACGCAAUUUCAGAUCCUAUCGCGUUUAGUGCCUAAUGUUAUGUAAUCUGUUCUCAAUGCUUUAACGACAGGGGGAGAUCAUUUCUUCAGGAGAUGCAAGAGGAUACACAGAUGACACUGGAACGCACUGCACGAGUCACUAUCCUAGUCAUAAGCCAAAAGAGAAGUAGUGUGCACUUACGAUGUUACCAACCUAAAGUCGCUAUCAGCGACGAUGGAACAGUUGUGAUCGAGAUCUUCGCUAUCAUCACCGGAAGUGUGUCCGCUCUGAUUCUCGUGCCGAUGAAUGACCACCACUUCCUCGUCCUCGGAAUCGCCUGCGACUCCAUCGCAAGAUCUCUCAACCUCUGGGUCGCUAUCCUGCGACGAGGUCGGUGAAUCGUCUAUCAUCACAUCGUGAACGAGCCUGUUUUCAGUAAUAGUUCGCAGUAUUAAUUAUUGAAAUUGAUCAUUUAAAAUAUGAAACUUUUAAGGGCAAAGAUCAAAUGUUACUAAUGUUCUUACCAAACACCAGCAAUGAUCAUUAUAUUAAAUUCUUGAUUAAUUUUAGAGGCAAAGAGUGAGACACGAAGAAGUUUUAAGCGUGAAACUAAGAAAUUGAAAAAGCAGGAGAAUGAUAUUAACAGAAUGAGAAUGUAAUGAUAACAGGAGCUGUAUCUGGAAAGUCUAUGUUUGUAUGUACCAAUCGACUAUACAACUGUUAGUGAAUUUUAUAUCAUGUAGAUGAAUGAUAUAUUCUUUAAUUUUUCUACUAAAUAAUUAAAUGUUUUGUAAUAUAAAAAUGACGUUCAUGUUAUACAACGGAUAAUAUGAAAGGUAUAUCUUCGUUUCUAGGGAAUAGGUAAGAUCUUUUAUGUCAUAUUCAACGAAUAUCAGAAUUAAUUGAAAUUUCUUAACAAAAAUAAUAUGUCGUGUUUUAAUACAUCUUUUGUUAAAGUAUUAUCUAUUUAAAAAGCAAGUGAAUCAAAGUUGACAGAUUGGAACUCCCAGGAAACGUCUCGCGACUAAGAAACACUCGGAUACCAUUGACCAACAGGUAAACGACGUGUUAUUUUAAUCUUGUGGUUUACGAUAUAUGUAUACGUAUCUUCUAUAAACUUCAAUAUUCAUAUCGCUCAACAGUUAUAUGAAAAAUUAUAUUUUAUUUUUCUGAAAAAUA